rnacentral:rRNA from 1 species
AGAGUUUGAUCCUGGCUCAGGAUGAACGCUGACAGAAUGCUUAACACAUGCAAGUCGAUUCGAAGUUUCUUUCGGGAAAUGGAGGAUGGCGGACGGGUGAGUAACGCGUAAGGAACUUGCCUUUUGGACUGGGACAACUGUUGGAAACGACAGCUAAUACCGGAUAUUAUGAGAUCUUCGCAUGGAGAACUUAUGAAAGCUAUAUGCGCCAAAAGAGAGCCUUGCGUUCCAUUAGCUAGUUGGUGGGGUAAUGGCCCACCAAGGCGACGAUGGAUAGCCGGCCUGAGAGGGUGAACGGCCACAAGGGGACUGAGACACGGCCCUUACUCCUACGGGAGGCAGCAGUGGGGAAUAUUGGACAAUGGGCCACAAGCCUGAUCCAGCAAUUCUGUGUGCACGAUGACGGUCUUCGGAUUGUAAAGUGCUUUCAGUUGGGAAGAAGAAAGUGACGGUACCAACAGAAGAAGCGACGGCUAAAUACGUGCCAGCAGCCGCGGUAAUACGUAUGUCGCAAGCGUUAUCCGGAUUUAUUGGGCGUAAAGCGCGUCUAGGCGGGAAAGAAAGUCUGAUGUUAAAAUGCGGGGCUCAACUCCGUAUUGCGUUGGAAACUCCUUUUCUAGAGUAUCAGAGAGGUGGGCGGAACUACAAGUGUAGAGGUGAAAUUCGUAGAUAUUUGUAGGAAUGCCGAUGGAGAAGUCAGCUCACUGGAUGAAUACUGACGCUAAAGCGCGAAAGCGUGGGGAGCAAACAGGAUUAGAUACCCUGGUAGUCCACGCCGUAAACGAUGAUCACUAGGUGUUGGGGGUCGAACCUCAGCGCCCAAGCUAACGCGAUAAGUGAUCCGCCUGGGGAGUACGUACGCAAGUAUGAAACUCAAAGGAAUUGACGGGGACCCGCACAAGCGGUGGAGCAUGUGGUUUAAUUCGACGCAACGCGAGAAACCUUACCAGCGUUUGACAUCCUAAGAAGUUUCCAGAGAUGGAUUCGUGCC